AUUGAACGCUGGCGGCAUGCCUUACACAUGCAAGUCGAACGGCAGCGCGGGGCAACCUGGCGGCGAGUGGCGAACGGGUGAGUAAUAUAUCGGAACAUACCCUAGAGUGGGGAUAACGUAGCGAAAGUUACGCUAAUACCGCAUACGCACUAAGGUGGAAAGUGGGGGAUCUUCGGACCUCAUGCUCAUGGAGUGGCCGAUAUCUGAUUAGCUAGUUGGUGAGGUAAAGGCUCACCAAGGCGACGAUCAGUAGCUGGUUUGAGAGAACGACCAGCCACACUGGAACUGAGACACGGUCCAGACUCCUACGGGAGGCAGCAGUGGGGAAUUUUGGACAAUGGGGGGCAACCCUGAUCCAGCAAUGCCGCGUGAGUGAAGAAGGCCU
rnacentral:rRNA from 1 species